rnacentral:rRNA from 1 species
AGCAGCCGCGGUAAUUCCAGCUCCAAUAGCGUAUAUUAAAGUUGUUGCAGUUAAAAAGCUCGUAGUUGAAUUUUGGGUUUGGCCAAUUGGUCCGUUCUUGUAACGAGUACUGGUUGGUUGGGCCUCACCGCCUGGUGAUACGUAAUGUCCUUUAUUGGGUGUUGCGAGUAGCCAGGACCUUUACCUUGAAAAAAUUAGAGUGUUUAAAGCAGGCUUAUGCCGGAAUACAUUAGCAUGGAAUAAUAGAAUAGGACGAUGAUUCUAUUUUGUUGGUUUCUAGGAGCAUCGUAAUGAUUAAUAGGGAUAGUUGGGGGCAUUAGUAUUCAAUUGUCAGAGGUGAAAUUCUUGGAUUUAUUGAAGACUAACUACUGCGAAAGCAUUUGCCAAGGAUGUUUUCAUUAAUCAAGAACGAAAGUUAGGGGAUCGAAGACGAUCAGAUACCGUCGUAGUCUUAACCAUAAACUAUGCCGACUAGGGAUCGGGCGAUGUUGUUUCAAUGACUCG